CGAUUCUGGCUCAGAACGAACGCUGGCGGCGCGUUUAAGCAUGCAAGUCGAGCGGCAAGGGCCUUCGGGCCCCUAGAGCGGCGGACGGGUGAGUAACACGUGGACAAUCUGCCCCCCGGCCCGGGAUAGCCCAGGGAAACCUGGAUUAAUACCGGAUGAGACGGGACCCGCGAUGGCGGGACCCGGGAAAGGCGCUGCGGCGCCGCCGGGGGAUGAGUCUGCGUCCCAUUAGCUAGACGGCGGGGUAACGGCCCACCGUGGCGACGAUGGGUAGCCGGCCUGAGAGGGUGGACGGCCACAUUGGAACUGAGACACGGUCCAGACUCCUACGGGAGGCAGCAGCUAAGAAUCUUCCGCAAUGGGCGAAAGCCUGACGGAAGCGACGCCGCGUGAACGAAGAAGGCCGUGAGGUUGUAAAGUUCUUUUCGGGAGGGGGAACAACCGUGGCAGGGAAUGGCCGCGGGAUGACGUGAAUCCCGGAAUAAGCCCCGGCUAACUACGUGCCAGCCGCCGC
rnacentral:rRNA from 1 species